GACCAUCUCACUUCGUCUCUCACCCCAAAUCAGAGAAACCCUAGCCGCCCUAGGAUUCCCUUGCUGCCUCCGCUGUGGUCCGCCGACCAGAAAUCGCCUCACGGCCAGAUCAUCUCAAAACUCUACCAAAUUAACACCCUAUAACCUCCUUUCCUCUCCUUUCCAAAUCCCUAAACCAUUUCCCUCAAAUCUUUCCCAAACCGCUCAAAUCUUGGAUCUAAAAUCCUAACCCUAAUUUUUCCCUUUUUCGAUUUCCGGUCAACUUCUGGGUUUUGAACCCCAAGACUUCCAUUAUCGACUGUUUUUAUUGAGAACAGUCGGUUAAUGGUCGUCCACGUUUAUUUUACCCCAUUAAAGUUGUCCGAGUUCAUGACUGAUUCCAAGUUCGAAGCAGGUUUUUGGUAAUCCCUUUUGCGUUCUUUUUUCUUCCUUCUUUUGUUCAUCUCCUUCAUCUUCUUUCUUUCUUUUAGCCGCAUGUUUUAGGUAAUCACAACUCUAGGUUUUCUCCUUUUUUUUCAUGACUGUUUAGUUUAUUUGGAUGCAUCUAUCUAUUAAGUUAACUGAAGCAUGCUAAGUUUCAUCAUUUGAAGUUUGAUUUUAAUUUGCUUAAGUUCAGGUUUAAUUAGGUUUAAUGUUUUAGGUUUUGAUAAAUUGUUUGUUCUAUUUUCUUUUUGUGUUUGUUUCUCUUUUAUAUUUGUUUUAAUGUUUAGUUAAGUUGAUUAGAAUAGUGUCAAGAGUUAAUUAACAGCUUGUUUGGCCGAUUUCUAAUUAAUUAUUAAGAAAAUCUUAGACUUAUGUAAUAUGUUUAAUUGCAAACUAAUUAGGUUAAUUUUCUAGGAUUUCUUUGCAUCUUCAUUUUAGUUUUGUUAUUUACUGUUUGGAUGUGUUGUUUGUUAAACUUAGUUUUGUUUAAGGUUAAUUAGGUGGACCUAUUAAUUAGGAUUAAUUUGUUUGAAUUAAAUCCUAGAUGCCCUUAAGUUUAACUUUUAAUUUCAGAAUUAAAAGGGUAUUGAAAUAAGCCUAGGAACCCUAAGGCUGGAAUCUUCUAGAUUGUUCUAGGAGGUUCCACAAAUGCAAUUGAAAUCAGAAUUCAGGUCAAGACUGGUUAGGACUGAAAUAUCUAAUAAAUGAAAGGGUAAAACUGAAUUUUAUAUGGGGUAAAUAUCAUAAGGUUCUAGUAUUUUGGACAGCUGCCCCAUUCUUAGCAAAAAAUAUUGAAAUUAGGUGGGAAAAAAGGAUAUACAACUGUCAAAGAUGGUGUACUAUUCUGACUUUUCAGAAUUUAAGUUAGAAUAUUCCAUUUUGAUGCCAUCUAGUAUACCCUCUAUAAAGAAAAGUUACUCCUACACACAGGAGAUUUUUUCCAAACCUUAAAAAGCACCUCAAAAAGCUCAGCCUUACUAUUCCAUUGGUAGCUGAUCAAUUUUUCUGAUUUCGACUUAAAUCAAGAUAAUUUUUUCCUUUGAAAUUUCUGGGUUUCUUGAGUUGCAAGAUAGUUUGAGAUUGAAGUUGUGACACUGUUGUUCAUUGCUACUAGUUUCAUUGGUUUCAUGUUGGUCUUCUGAUGUUUCCUUAAAGAUUCAUGGCUUUAUUUUCUUAUUCUUUAUAACCAGGUAUAUCUUGAGCUUUGAAUGAUGAAUGAAAUGCAAGCCUGUUUUGAAGAGUAUACUACUGCUGUGGAGUUUAGUAUUCAUGUUUAAAUUUCAGCUUCUUUUGAUGUUUCUUCAAGUUAUUUGACUCUUGUUCUUUAGUUUCUUCCUCUCUAGCUUCUACCUAAAUACAUUAAAUCUGUUGUGUUGUUCCAUGAAUCAGCUAGGAUGUUUAGUGUCGAAAGUGUUGAAUAGUAUCUCUUUCAUGUGUUAAAUUUCAGCCUAAAUAGUUUAGCUUAAAAUGUUGAAUUUUGGUUUGCUUUUACAUGUGUUUUAAGUUAUUCAGCAGUCCAGUUCUCUCAGCUUUGUACAAAGUUUCUUGGAUCUAUUUUGAUAGUUAAUAGUUUAAUAGGGAUUCUUACGUAUGAAUGUCUGAAUUAGAUCAUUUUGUAUUCAUUUCAAGUUGGUAAACAACUCCAGCAGUUUGUCUGGUUGUAUGUUAAGAAAUGUUGACUAGUAUAUUAAGCAUAA
rnacentral:lncRNA from 1 species